GACAAUAUGGGCAGAAAUAAUCGUUUCUCCCUUACUAUAGGGUCUAAGACUGUCAUAAUCUCAUGAGGGAUGUAGAAAGAGUCCUACGUGAGGACAAUAUGGGCAGAAAUAAUCGGGUCUAAGACUGUCAUAAUCACAUGAGGGACGUAGAAAGAGCCCCACGCAAGGGCAAUAUGGACAUUAGUAGCCGGGUCUAAAAUUGUACAAAUGACAUGAGGGACAUAGAGAGAGCUCCACACAAGGAAAAUGUGGAUCGAAGCAACUGGGCCUAAGAUUAUCUUUUAGAGGACGUGGAAGGAGCCUCACACAUGGACAAUAAGGGCAGUGGUCACCGGGUCUAAGACUGUCAUAAUCUCAUGAGCGAUGUAGAAAGAGUCCUACGUGAGGAUAAUAUGGGCAGAAAUAAUAUGUGGGCAUUUUGCACCCGUUAUUUUUAAAAUCUUCUUGUUUUUACUUUUAUUUUAAGUAAGCAAUAUUGAAA
rnacentral:misc_RNA from 1 species